AGAGUUUGAUCCUGGCUCAGGACGAACGCUGGCGGCGUGCUUAACACAUGCAAGUCGAACGAGAAUCACUGGAAGGAGUUUUCGGACAACGGAAGGUGAGGACAGUGGCGGACGGGUGAGUAACGCGUGAGGAACCUGCCUUUCAGAGGGGGACAACAGUUGGAAACGACUGCUAAUACCGCAUGACACAUAGAGAUCGCAUGGUUUUUAUGUCAAAGAUUUAUCGCUGAAAGAUGGCCUCGCGUCUGAUUAGCUAGUUGGUGAGGUAACGGCCCACCAAGGCGACGAUCAGUAGCCGGACUGAGAGGUUGACCGGCCACAUUGGGACUGAGAUACGGCCCAGACUCCUACGGGAGGCAGCAGUGGGGAAUAUUGGGCAAUGGGCGCAAGCCUGACCCAGCAACGCCGCGUGAAGGAAGAAGGCCUUCGGGUUGUAAACUUCUUUUAAGAGGGACGAAGAAGUGACGGUACCUCUUGAAUAAGCCACGGCUAACUACGUGCCAGCAGCCGCGGUAAUACGUAGGUGGCGAGCGUUGUCCGGAAUUAUUGGGCGUAAAGAGCAUGUAGGCGGCUUAAUAAGUCGAGCGUGAAAAUGCGGGGCUCAACCCCGUAUGGCGCUGGAAACUGUUAGGCUUGAGUGCAGGAGAGGAAAGGGGAAUUCCCAGUGUAGCGGUGAAAUGCGUAGAUAUUGGGAGGAACACCAGUGGCGAAGGCGCCUUUCUGGACUGUGUCUGACGCUGAGAUGCGAAAGCCAGGGUAGCGAACGGGAUUAGAUACCCCGGUAGUCCUGGCCGUAAACGAUGGGUACUAGGUGUAGGAGGUAUCGACCCCUUCUGUGCCGGAGUUAACGCAAUAAGUACCCCGCCUGGGGAGUACGGCCGCAAGGUUGAAACUCAAAGGAAUUGACGGGGGCCCGCACAAGCGGUGGAGUAUGUGGUUUAAUUCGAAGCAACGCGAAGAACCUUACCAGGGCUUGACAUCCUACUAACGAAGUAGAGAUACAUCAGGUGCCCUUCGGGGAAAGUAGAGACAGGUGGUGCAUGGUUGUCGUCAGCUCGUGUCGUGAGAUGUUGGGUUAAG
rnacentral:rRNA from 1 species